AACGCACAUUGCACCUCUUGGUAAUCCUUGAGGUAUACUUGUUCGAGCGCCGUUUAAAUUCUAAGGCUUUGCCUUGUGUUGAUGUUUUUAUCGCUUAAUCCGCGAUUCAUCAAAAUAAAUUGGCGUCUGUUUUUUUAGCCAGAAACGCAGUGAAAAUGCGAAGAAGGUUUAUUAACAAACAGCUGUUUUUCAUUUCCUAUCCGACAGCUUUGCUGUCAGAAAAGAAAAAUAAAAAACAUGGCCUCGAAUCAAGUAGGGAUACCCGCUGAACUUAA
rnacentral:misc_RNA from 1 species